rnacentral:rRNA from 1 species
UACAUGUGGGGCGAGCGUUGUUCGGAAUUACUGGGCGUAAAGGGUGCGUAGGCGGUUUGCUAUGUCGGAUGUGAAAACUCUGGGCUCAACCCAGAGCCUGCAUCCGAAACUGGCGAGCUAGAGUUCUGGAGGGGGUAGCGGAAUUCCUGGUGUAGCGGUGAAAUGCGUAGAUAUCAGGAGGAACACCGGUGGCGAAGGCGGCUACCUGGACAGAAACUGACGCUGAGGCACGAAAGCUAGGGGAGCAAACAGG